rnacentral:lncRNA from 10 species
CUAACGGCCAAGGAGUGACCCAACCCUGGGUUUGACACCAAGACACCCAGGGACAUAUGGGACACACAAAAGAUCUGAAGCACAGAACAGCUACACAGAUGCCAAAGGAAAAUGCGGGGCCCCUUGUCUGAAAAGUGUUCGGCAUUUCCAGAGGCAACAGCAGCACAUUAGACCAAGCUGAGGCCCCUCUGAGCACAAGCCCCUGUCAGCAGCCGGUCCUGAAGCCAGACCAUCCCCCAGGGAGGGCGGCCUUGGGGACACGCGGCAGCCUUGGGGACACGCAGCGCCCUGUCCACACUGGGAUUCCCGAGACUGAUGGUGGCCUGAGCUGGAGAAGACAUCCUGGGGACAGUGGGCGACGUCUGGAGACAGUUUUGGAUGCCACCCUGGGGUGUGCUUCUGACUUGUGUGGAGAGGCCAGGGGCGCUGCUAACCAUCAGACCCCAGGGUGCUCUCCAGCCCUGGGCUACGGUUCCCAUCUCAGCACUCCCAGGCAGCUCUACCGAUGGCCGUGCAUGAAAAAUGAACGUUGGGUGCAGCUCGAGGAGGGCAACGCCAGGAGCCUGGUGGAGGCUUGCUGAGAAUCCGAAGGUCUCUGCUUUGUCUCCCAGUGCAAAAAGCAAAGGCCUCAGGGUUAAGCAGACAUGCGGACUAAAUGGAAGGUGGGCUCCUGGGACAGAAAAAGACAUUCAGGGGAAAACAGGGGAAUCCAAAUAAACUAUGGAGUUUCCCGACAAUGCCCAGUGUCAGUUCCUUAGGACAAGUAGUCCCGAGAGCUGUAAGAUGCUAACGUUAGGGGAAGCUGGGUUGGGGGGUACAGGACCUUUCUGCAUUAUCUUUGCAACUUCCCUGCAAAUCUAAAACUAUUCUAAACUAAAAGCCUAUUUAAAUAGAAACAAUCCCCCCAAAACUGGCUUCUAAAAAUAGUUGCCUAAUCACCAGAGGCGUGUUUUUAAGUGAAAGGUUUGCAUCUUAACUGGCUACUGCCGGGAAGCCCCUCCAUCCCUUGGAGCUGGCCAGCUGACUGAGUGCCCUGAGAACGCUGAACAAGUCCAACUUGGUAGAAAGUCACAAAUCUCCUUCGUCCCUAACUCAAUGCAAACAAUAAAACAGAACUGCUCAGCUCCUGGCAACACUGCUAGUCAUGGUCCAGUGAGGCAACAGGGGAGCUUUGUGUUUGAGCAACAAAACCCAAGGCUCCCAGGGCUGAGGACUGGGUGGGCUGAGGAGGAGUCGCUCCUGUCUCCCUCCUCCUUCCUCGGGGCCUCUUCGCCUGGUCGGGACAGGAGGUUCUCACCAAAGGGCCCCUGGUCAUCAGCAUGCGGGGACAGGAAGUUUUGGGGAGUCUCCUGGUCCUCUGGGGGUCCUGGACUUGCCUAACGAGGCUGAGUUUGCCAGGAGGUUGAUCCUGUGCAGAGCUGGGGUGUCACUGGAGUUAACAGAGCACAGCUAAGAUGCUGGGUUCCACUUCUCAGAAUUCAUCCUCAGCGCAUAAUCCAACUUGUGCACAGUCGUGUUUGUACGGUAUGAUGUUCAUCACAGCAUUAUGUAUGAUAAUGAGUAAUUGGAAACAACUGACAGUUAAGUGGCAAGAGCUUGCUCAAUGAAUGCUGAUGUGCGUAUGAGGUAAUGCCAUGUGGCCGUAAAAGCAUGCAGUGGAGUCAUGUUCACAGGCAUGAAAGCUGCUGUGGAUACAUUGCUGAGUGGUAAAAUCGUGCUACAAAUGUCUUGGACACAGUGGCCAUCCUCUUGUGAAAUGUCUGCCCUGGAUAAAGAACAUGUGAAAGGUGGUUAUUCGUGAGCAGCAGGCUUGGGAUCGUUUCCUCCUCCUGUUCUUUUCUGUGUUUCCAAAUUUUCUGUAUGGCUCGUGUGUUCAUUUCUGUAAUUAUAUUUUUAAAAACUUAAAAUAAUGCACCAGUUGUCAUCGCAUUCCAAAUGCUGGACUGAAAAAGUUGAAAAAGUCACUGAAAGUCAUAUCACGUGUGUGUCCAUGCUUCCGUUCCCUUUUUUGCAUAAGUCAUUAUUGAGUGGGAGGAGAAAGGAGGAAACAUGUCUGGCAUUUUACCACUGUCUGGGGGAUAGGACUCCGAGGCGCAGACCCCCGGGUAGCUGAGGUGUGAGUCACCCACACUCGGGUGACCUGGAGGCCCCGCCACAGAGGAAGGAGCAUCUCCUGCCCUUCACGCUUCCCAGUAUUUCCAGGGGCCUCCAACAUCUGCCAGGUCCAGCUUCGGGCCCUGCUUCGUUCUGUACAAAUCAGAGUCACGGUGCUCAACAGGUCACUUACUGAAACCAUCUCACAUCCAGCUCCAAGGAGCCAACCUGCUGUGUGGCAUCCCAGAAAAAGGCGGCUUUGAUCAAAAGAGCUGUGCAAGCAUGGAGAAGUUCGCGCUGCCAAAAUCCGGGGUGUAAAUCCGCCCACCACAGGCGCCUUCACACCACCAGCAUGGUGUCUCUGACCGUGGGGCUGGGAAGAAAUGGGAUACAGGCCCUCCAGCGGCAGGAGUUGCAGAAGCCUCGUGGGCUGUGCCCUUCACCAGGCCCCGGCACAGGCAGGGACCUUUCUGAGAAAGAACUCCGUGUCCUCAGUGCCCUGAAAUGUUCCUCCUCCCACAGUCGCCACAGCCACAGCACUCAAAUGCCACAAACUCCCUUAUACUAAAGUGCAGCUUGGUAAACCCCCAAAAAUCUGCCUGGGGGUCAGAGAGCCCCGGUCCACAUCCCCAGCCUGCCUUCCUGGAACUGUGCCAUGGUGGUGGAGGCGCGGGCCUCCCCUAGCCUGGAUCCCCACAUGCAGAGCCAGGGAUACUCAUUCCUUUGGUGCCCGAGGGAUUGGAGGGUCUCCUGCCCUGGCCUCUUAGAAAGAAUGCACUCAGGCAGUGCCUGUUUCCCUCCCUCUUCUCUUCCUUCCUCCUUCUAGAUCUGCCCCCUCUUCACUGUGCCAGAGUGAGCCUUCUAGAACCUGAGGGGCCAUUACUGAGGGGCUCAGGGCCCACAGGUUGAGUCCACCUCCCCUCAUGCCUCACGUCCCUCCCUGUGGCCUCACUCUCCACUCCCUGCAGCUCCCCAGGGCAGCCCACUCUCACCCACGGGACUCCCUGACUGCAAGGGCAUCGCCCUGGUGAGUCCCUAAUUAAAGGUGUUAACACUCUAAAAGUGGGGCUGAUUCCAACAAGAGGCGCUUCCUGGAGGCUGGUCUGUGAAGGAGGAUGCAGGGCAGGUGGUGGGGAGAGGCCUCCCUAUCUUCUGGGAGGGAAUUAACUUGUUUGCUGCAGCAGGCCAGGGUCUCUUACAGAAGGUGAUGGUGGGCAUGGGUGGGGCUGGUGUGGCCCUGCAGAGCGGGAGCAGGAAGGGGCUGCUGAUCAGCCUCCCCCAGGGCCUCCUCCCCUCACUAGUCCUGACAAUGCCAACAGGUAGGAAGAGGUGUGGCCUUCACAGGUAAGACUGGACAGGAUAGGGCAUGUCCUGACUGCAAAGCCCACAUGCUCUAAACCGAGUUGCCGUGGCACCAGCACCUGUGUCCUAAUGGCCCCCCGCUAUCCCCUAGGAGUGGAGUUGUUGCACAGCAGCAACUGUAGCUCAGCAGGCCCCUCUGUGUGUGUGGCCCUCGAAGAAAGUGGAAAUGGGGCCAGGCAUCAGGACAGGAAGGGUCUCCUUAGACCAGCACCUGAGCAGCAUGGCCAAGGCAUAGGCUUGUCCUGCCAGUGGCCCUCUAGGGAACCAAUGAGAGUACAGAAGGGCCAUUGCUCUGGGGUCAGCUGGCCCUGCCUGGUUUCUGUUGGUGAUGGAGGUGUUGCUCUGGGGUCAGCUGGCCCCGCCUGGUUUCUGUUGGUGAUGGAGGUGUUGCUCUGGGGUCAGCUGGCCCCGCCUGGUUUCUGUUGGUGAUGGAGGUGUUGCUCUGGGGUCAGCUGGCCCCGCCUGGUUUCUAUUGGUGAUGGAGGUGUUGCUCUGGGGUCAGCUGGCCCCGCCUGGUUUCUGUUGGUGAUGGAGGUGUUGCUCUGGGGUCAGCUGGCCCCACCUGGCUUCUGUUGGUGAUGGAGGUGUUGCUCUGGGGUCAGCUGGCCCCGCCUGGUUUCUGUUGGUGAUGGAGGUGUUGCUCUGGGGUCAGCUGGCCCCGCCUGGUUUCUGUUGGUGAUGGAGGUGUUGCUCUGGGGUCAGCUGGCCCGGCCUGGUUUCUGUUGGUGAUGGAGGUGUUGCUCUGGGGUCAGCUGGCCCCGCCUGGUUUCUGUUGGUGAUGGAGGUGUUGCUCUGGGGUCAGCUGGCCCCGCCUGGUUUCUAUUGGUGAUGGAGGUGUUGCUCUGGGGUCAGCUGGCCCCGCCUGGUUUCUAUUGGUGAUGGAGGUGUUGCUCUGGGGUCAGCUGGCCCUGCCUGGUUUCUGUUGGUGAUGGAGGUGUUGGUUAUGGUGGUAUUGUUUUAACACUCCUGAAAGAGGAACAUGCCUGUUAACAGCACACCCGAAACCAUCAGGCCCUCUCUCUGCCUGGCCCUCUGAACGGGGCAACAGAAACGCAUCAACUCUCCCUGUCAUCAGUGAAAUAGCACUGGGGGCUGAGGGAGGGCCCACUCAGGAUGGCCCAGCCUGCAGGUCUAUGCAGACCCCAGACUCUACAAUCUGGGGCCCUUGGUUUCUGGAGGAGGCAGACACCCUGGUUUGCGGAGUCCACGCUCCAUUCUGCUGUUGUCCUGGUCUUGUAAUGCCCAACCUUGUUUUUACUAACCCUGUUUUUAGGCUUGUUUCCA